rnacentral:misc_RNA from 1 species
AGCAAGUUAUGCAUUACAAACCUUGUCUUUGAAUUAAUUACUUUUCCCAAUUUGACAAGAAUUGUCAUUCUAUUUUGUGCCGCAGAGAACCUCCCAGAGGAAGCUCGGUGAGAUCCACAAUGACCCUAUCUCCAAUGUUUGGUUACCACCGGCGGGAGGAUAGAAGACCAAUUGGAGCGCCGCUAGGGGACCAUUUACCACUAAUGAUGCCUGAAGUGAUCCCUCAGAUGAUAUCAACCCAAGUUAUUAAAAUAGCACACUGGAGAUCCGAAAAAAAAAAAAAAAAUACGGCCAA